rnacentral:lncRNA from 1 species
CGGUAAUGAGCCUAAGACAGUGGAAAGGCAAAGUUUCUCACGGGGCGGGGGGUUGUGGUGAAGAUGUUCAUUCCUUUUCUUUUGUUCAAGAGCUGUCUUUGAAGGCAUUGUUCUUCCACAGCUGCAGUAGCCUACAUUCAUUGUGAUAAUUGUGGGACAAUAUGUAGGAUGGAUGAUUGAUACAUGAGAUAAAGUUGUGUAAGACUAUUACUAGAAAAUCAUAUGGAGAUAAUAAAUUAUGCAAAGGCAGCUCAGAUGCUAAGGACAAUUUUAGUGGGGUGCAAUAAGGGAAAGGCUACAGCAGAUCCAAACAGGGCUAAAAAUGGGUCAGAGAAAGAAAACACAACAGUCCCUGUAACUAAUCACGUAAUAUGACACGAGUUGAAGUAUUACAGACAGGUAAGGAAGAAAAAAUACAGUAAGUACCUCACGGACAGAAAAUGGUCUUGGCUGAAAUGCUACUGCACUCCCUGUGCACCUCACCUCUUUUUCCGUAUCAGAACAAGGACUGAGUGUGCCGUCUUCCUUUGGUAGGGAAUCCAGGCAUGCGGGCAGGGUCUGGCUCUCUGGGAGGCUGGCACCACAAGGCACACAGCAGGGCUUGCAGAGCAGCCUACAUGCAGCUGAAAAGGCAGCAAGAUGCAAAGGUGGAGAGACUGCCGGCUUCCCAAACGUCAGAUGGACUCAGAGCAUUUGAAGCAGAGCACAGCAGAUGCUGUAAGAAAUGAAGACCCGGUUGGCUGCUUUGGGGUAGGAGCAAGCAGUGGAAGGAGGAACAGUAUGGGCAGUCCUGUCAGGUUAAUCCCCUUCACCCCAUGGUUGCGGGUUUCUCUCCCCUUGGACAAUAAAGGGAAAAUAGUUGCUGACUAAGAGGAUGUGAUUGCCUCCACUGGUACGAACUUGCUCAGACUCCCUGCUCUAAAUGCAGCCUCAGAAAGGAUGGAGAAGGGAGAGUUGCCUUGCAUUUCUCACUGUUGUAUGCAUAGUACAGUACUGAUCUGCACAACUUGUAUUAGCAUGUCAGUCAGUGGUAGGUGAUGUCUUUGCAAUAGUUCUACACUGUCCUAAUAAGGCUUCUAUAUCUAAAUUUGUGGAAAUGUAGAAAAGCCUCCUGUGGCACGAUAUAAUCUUUGGGAAUUUGAUGCAAAGCCUGUUGAAGGUGGUGAAACGAAUCUAUUGAUUUCAGUGGAUUUUAGAGGAUUGGAAACAGAUACGUGAUUUGGACCAGAGCAUUAGCCUAACUGAUAAUAUUAUUGUCUGCAGCAGCACAGCAUUUCCCAUGCUGUGCUAGAUCACCUUAAGAUGUUUAGGGAAGUAUAAGAGGUCCAAUUUUCCUUUUACCUCCCAAAAUACUUUAAACAUUUCGGUUGCUUAUGUUAAUCUUUUACAAUAUUGCAUUUGAGAAAUACAGGCAGCACAAUAUACAUACAGGCACAGGAUGUUUAUGAAACUGUGAAAAUCUUGUUUUACGUUGUGGAAACAACCUUUAUUCAUGAUGUUACACAUUAUGUUUCAGCCCACAGGGAA